UACGGGGGGAGCAAGCGUUGUUCGGAUUUACUGGGCGUAAAGGGCGCGUAGGCGGCCAGCACAAGUCAGUUGUGAAAUCUCCGGGCUUAACUCGGAAAGGUCAACUGAUACUGUGCGGCUAGAGUGCAGAAGGGGCAACUGGAAUUCUCGGUGUAGCGGUGAAAUGCGUAGAUAUCGAGAGGAACACCUGCGGCGAAGGCGGGUUGCUGGUCUGACACUGACGCUGAUGCGCGAAAGCCAGGGGAGCGAACGGG
rnacentral:rRNA from 1 species